GCCUGGCUGGCUUUGUUGGUAGAGCAUGAAACUCCUGAUCUUAAGAUUGUGAGUUUGAGCCCCAUGUUGGGGA
rnacentral:tRNA from 1 species